GGAAGGAAUAAAGGAAGGAAGGGAAGGAAGGAAGGAGAGAGUUGUUAUAAGAUGUUAUAUAUAGCUGUUUAAUUGCACUGUUAAUUCUAGGCAUGAGGAACGCUUUUCAUAUGAAGAAAGCCAUGGCAUAGUUGUUUACUUCUAGUCUAUUCUGCUGGACAUUGAGGUUUGGGUUUUGCCAAUUCCAUUAAAAUGACUAUUCCCUCCCUACUACAUAAUGAACUACUUUAAUUCCAAUAAGGCAAGCAUGAACUCAUAUGACAGAAACAGGAAGGUGAGUGGCUUUUUUUUCUUUUUUGGGCAUGUGCAUAGUGUUUUAUUUUUUUUUAACUUUUGAAAGUACUGACUCAAAUCCGUACCUGUAGAUAUUUACGUGUGUGUAGACCCAGGCCUGCUAGAGAGGGAAUUUUCAGUCAUUGCCUACUCCCAAGCCUAUGCCCACCUUCUAAAUAUUUCUACAUUUCUGUCAAAACUAAGGAAUAUAUUUCAGCAUGGUGGGCCAUUAAGUGGCACUUUCAUUGCUUUCACAGCCACCCCUGUCCUUGGACGCUCUAUGCAAUGUCCAUUAAAGUACAGGAAGUCUGCCAGAGGGAGAGACUUGAGAAGUACACAGCUACAAUUGAGGCACCCUAUGGGCCUGAGUUUCUUUUCCUCAGAGUUUCCGUUUGAUACUUUCUAUCUUGCACAGUCUCUGCUCUGAACUCCAGGAGCACCGAUGGACAAUACUUGGUACUGAUCUUGGUACUUCUCAGCCUCUGUCUCACCUGAUGGAUAAAAUGUUUCCUGGGUAUGAGGCUUAUCUUUGCAAGUACGUUGUAAGCUCUGCCACCUCCCUACACCUCCAGACAGCAGUAACAAUGAUGAUACAGCACAGAAGGCCAUGGUAAUUAUUGUGGAAUUGAAUUGAGUUGGAUUGGAUUGAACUGACCAGGCUUUCUUACACUAUGUUAAGAAUAUGUUUCUUCUCAAACUGGAUUCAAGGACUCAUAUGGGAGAGCUUUAAGGCAGAUUUGAUGUGUUUAGAUGUUUGCAGGAGUGAUGCUCAAAUAAGCAACUGAGUUCCAGCAUUGGAUCUCAUGCCUUGUCUCCCUGGUCCCACCAACCUGUCCUCAAACACACAAGCCCAAACAUAACAGGAAACACAACCAGCAACUAAGUCUAUUUCUACUUCCCUAAAGAACUUUCCUCAUGCCCUCAUCCUUCCUACCCCAACACUCUGACCCCAACCAAGUGUCUUGUGACUUUCGGAAAAAUGAAAGUAUCUCCUCCUUAUUUAAAAAAAAAAAAAAAAAAAAAAGAGGAACUUCUUAAUUUGGUAACAUUAUACAUUAAAUGUAUAAUGAAGCCCUACUUACUAUCUUUUUCUCUGAAUCAUCUUCCAGCCAAGUAGGUUUAAUGUAUAUGCCCCUCCUCCAACUUAAAUAAAAUUGUGGUGAUCUGUUGUUUCCUGACAUUAUUUCAUUGUCUUGUAAUACCCCACCUCUUCUUUGCCUAUCCCAUUGCUACACAUGCAAGUGGCUCCAAUGCAAAUCCAACCUCUCACAACCAGUUUUUCCCCCGUGCUGCCUAGCCUGAGGGAACUCCACUCUCCUUGGAAAAUACAGAGCUGUAAUUUAGAGUAUAUUCAGCCAUUAAUUGUGCAGUAUCCAGUACCAUAUUUUUCUGUGUUGUCUCAGCCUGCUUUUUAAAGAUUUUAUUGUUAGCUGACUUUAGAAUUAUUUAUGCCUUAUUAAAAGAGGCUACAUUAAAAUUUCCUUAAGAAAUCCAUGACCUAUACCUGUGUUCCCCUUUGGGUCUCGCGUUCAUUCACCAUUCAACAAUUAAUACUUGAGCACCCUACCAGUGGAGUGAUUGAUGAAUAACCAAAAUAAAUUGAAUAUAUGUACAUAAUUGAAUUUAAAACCUGAUAUUUCGCAAUCCAAGUACUUUCACAUAUAACAUCUCAUUGUCCUUGUGACAUUCUUCUGAAGCAGAUGGGAAAAGGUAAUAUGUCAUGCAAAGCAUUUAAUUAGUAACUUUGACAGUGUUUCAGUGUUUCAAGCUGGCAUAUGGGG